rnacentral:rRNA from 1 species
ACACAUGCCAGUCGAGCGGAAACGAUCCUAGCUUGCUAGGAGGCGUCGAGCGGCGGACGGGUGAGUAAUGCAUAGGAAUCUGCCCGGUAGUGGGGGAUAACCUGAGGAAACUCAGGCUAAUACCGCAUACGUCCUACGGGAGAAAGCAGGGGCUCUUCGGACCUUGCGCUAUCGGAUGAGCUUAUGUCGGAUUAGCUGGUUGGUGAGGUAACGGCUCACCAAGGCGACGAUCCGUAGCUGGUCUGAGAGGAUGAUCAGCCACAUCGGGACUGAGACACGGCCCGAACUCCUACGGGAGGCAGCAGUGGGGAAUAUUGGACAAUGGGGGCAACCCUGAUCCAGCCAUGCCGCGUGUGUGAAGAAGGCCCUCGGGUUGUAAAGCACUUUCAGUGAGGAAGAAGGCUUGUCGGUUAAUACCCGGCAAGAAAGACAUCACUCACAGAAGAAGCACCGGCUAACUCCGUGCCAGCAGCCGCGGUAAUACGGAGGGUGCGAGCGUUAAUCGGAAUUACUGGGCGUAAAGCGUGCGUAGGCGGCUUGAUAAGCCGGUUGUGAAAGCCCCGGGCUCAACCUGGGAACGGCAUCCGGAACUGUCAGGCUAGAGUGCAGGAGAGGAAGGUAGAAUUCCCGGUGUAGCGGUGAAAUGCGUAGAGAUCGGGAGGAAUACCAGUGGCGAAGGCGGCCUUCUGGACUGACACUGACGCUGAGGUACGAAAGCGUGGGUAGCAAACAGGAUUAGAUACCCUGGUAGUCCACGCCGUAAACGAUGUCUACUAGCCGUUGGGGUC